GAUGAACGCUAGCGGCAGGCUUAAUACAUGCAAGUCGAGGGGCAGCAGUUUUGUAGCAAUACAGAAGCUGGCGACCGGCAAACGGGUGCGGAACACGUACGCAACCUUCCUUUAACUGGAAGAUAGCCCACCGAAAGGUGGAUUAAUACUCCAUAACAUAUUGAAGAGGCAUCUCUUUGAUAUUAAAGCUCCGGCGGUUAAAGAUGGGCGUGCGUCUGAUUAGGUAGUUGGCGGGGUAACGGCCCACCAAGCCUUCGAUCAGUAUCUGAUGUUAGAGCAUGAGCAGCAACACGGGCAGUGAGACACGGGCCCGAAGCCUACGGGAGGCAGCAGUAAGGAAUAUUGGGCAAUGGGCGAAAGCCUGACGCAGCGACGCCGCGUGGGGGAUGAAGGUCUUCGGAUUGUAAACCCCUUUCGGGAGGGAAGAUGGAAUGGGGUAACCCAUUCGGACGGUACCUCCAGAAGCAGCCACGGCUAACUUCGUGCCAGCCGCCGCCGUAAUAC
rnacentral:rRNA from 1 species